GAUAGAGUAUUCUGCCCUCCUAAUCUUCUUUCUUCUGAGAUCAAGUUGCUUGUCACUUCUGCGAAACUCGCAGUUUCCUUCCCAUCCAUCAAGAUUGGCUUGAUAUAUUCAUAGGUAGAUGGAAGAGAUUAGAUGAGCUGUAGUACUGCCUUAUCCUCAUAAUCUAUCCUCACUCCAAUAGACUCUAGUUUUGAAACAAUCCUACUGAGAACACUCAGAUGGUCUGAGAUUUUCAUACCUUCUUCUAUGGGCAAUGAAUGAAAUUGCUCCUUCAGGUUUAACUGAUGUGAGAGGCUCUUCAUUUGAUAUAGUUCUUCUAGCUUCUUCCAUAGUUCCUCUGUCACAAAUAUUCCAUGAAUAUUUGCAAAAACGUUUUUAGCCAGAGAAAGACGUAUCAUGCUUGCAGCCUUCAAAUCCAAUUCUUCCCAAUUCUCAUCACUCAUACUGGAUUCAACUUCCUUGCUAGAACUCUUAGUUGGUUUUCCUUUCAAAGCCUUGUGCAGUCCAGCUUGAAUCAAUAAAUUCCUAACUUCUACUUGCCACAAGCCAAAAUUGAUUCUCCCGUCAAAUUUCUCCACGUCAUAUUUCAACGAUGACAUAUUUUUCUUUUGCUUCAAUACUCCGAACCACCUGAUGCUCUGAUACCACUUGUUGGAAAUUUUACACCAAUUCCCUUUAUUUCUAUUUACUCGCAAGAUCUUUUGUUAUUCAGAAA
rnacentral:lncRNA from 1 species